CCUACGGGAGGCAGCAGUGAGGACUAUUGGUCAAUGGACGAGAGUCUGAACCAGCCAAGUAGCGUGAAGGAUGACUGCCCUAUGGGUUGUAAACUUCUUUUAUAUGGGAAUAAAACGUUCCACGUGUGGGAUUUUGUAUGUACCAUAUGAAUAAGGAUCGGCUAACUCCGUGCCAGCAGCCGCGGUACUACGGGGGAUCCGAGCGUUAUCCGGAUUUCUUGGGUUUAAAGGGAGCGUAGAUGGAUUGUUAAGUCAGUUGUGAAAGUUUGCGGCUCAACCGUAAAAUUGAAGUUUAAACUGGCAGUUUUGAGGACAGUAGAGGUGGGCGGAAUUCGUGGUGUAGCGGUGAAAUGCUUAGAUAUCACGAAGAACUCCGAUUGCGAAGGCAGCUCACUGGACUGCAACUGACACUGAGGCUCGAAAGUGUGGGUAUCAAACAGGAUUAGAUACCCCAGUAGUC
rnacentral:rRNA from 1 species